CCUACGGGAGGCAGCAGUAAGGGAUAUUGGUCAAUGGGGGAAACCCUGAACCAGCAACGCCGCGUGAGGGAAGACGGUUUUCGGAUUGUAAACUUCUGUUCUUAGUGAAGAAGAAUGACGGUAGCUAAGGAGCAAGCCACGGCUAACUACGUGCCAGUAGCCGCGGUAAUACGUAGGUGGCAAGCGUUGUCCGGAAUUACUGGGUGUAAAGGGAGCGCAGGCGGGAAGCCAAGUCAGCUGUGAAAACUACGGGCUUAACUUGUAGACUGCAGUUGAAACUGGUUUUCUUGAGUGAAGUAGAGGUU
rnacentral:rRNA from 1 species